GUUAGACUCAAACAUAUAGAAAAGAGAAAAGAGAGAACCAAAGAGAGAGAGAGAGAGAGCUUCAUUGUUUUUGCAUGCAAUGUAAUUAAUCUGCUGGUGCAAAACCGUGAGAAAGAGAGAGACAACCGUGGGUGAGAAAGAGAGAACCAUGAAUGAGGGAGAGUUUAACUCCUUAAAUCUUUGCUGGAAAUUUGAAGGAAAACCAAGGGAAAAGUGAAGAAAAGGAAGGAGAAACUCAAGUUUGGCUUGGAUUUGUCAAAAUUAUGCGAGAUUAAAUGUCUAUGAAGACUCUAGGUCACGCGCCAUUGUCUGCCUGAUUUAUCUGACAUGUCCAGUCUGUCUGAUUUGCUUCUGCAGCCAUCUGUGAUCAGGCGCGUGACCAGGCUUAGAGGCUUCUGCCUAGAACCAGUUUUGUCAGCCAACCUAUGUGCCUCCCGUGGAGGUUCCGGAUAUGUCAAGUGAUUAUUGCUAUGUGAUCUAAAGUUUAAGUUUUAUUUUCGUGUUUAGUUGAACAGUCUUGUGUAUUUUGUAAAUAGGGUUAAGUUUCUUUUUAUCUAAUCUGUGU